UCUGGAGUUAAAAAAAAAUCUAAUCCUUUUUCCAGAGUUCACUUUUUCAAAUGCUUUAUAAUUAUUACCAUGUCUUUUAAGUUUUUUUUUUUAAAGGCAAAGGGUUAUAGAAUAUUUUAACUUUUAUAUAUAGAAGGAAAAUAGUUAUAUCUCUCACCAUCCUGGUCAAUCUUUCCUAAAUAGUCUCAAGUUUUUCAGGAUUAAGUUGGGUAUGCAACAUAAAUUAAAUUAUAUUGUGGUAUAGCAUUAAUCUAUUUGCCCAUCAUCUGUCUGCCUGACUGACCAUCCCUCCACAUCCAUCCAUCCAUCCAUCCAUCCAUCCAUCCAUCCAUCCAUCCAACUAGUUAUUGAUCCCUACUAUGAUAGGCUGCCUCUAACAUAGACCCAAGUGAUCCUUGACUCCUUUUAUUUAAGUCUGAAUGUAAUUAUCUAUCCUUGCAUGUAGGCUGGACAUAUUAACUCACUUUUAUCACAUAAAAUACAGAGCUGACGGGAUGUCAUUUCAGAUUUUAGGUUACAAAAAGAUGGCAGAUUGCAUCUUGGGCACUCUCUUGUAUGACUUUUUGGAGAAGCCAGUUUUCAUGUUGUGAGAGGCCUGGCAGAGGGGCCCAAAUGAGUUCGCUGGGAAGCGGAUCACAGAAACCAUGAGGCCUAUAAAAGCCCCAGGCUCAGCCAGAGCAGAGCAGAUGAUGGAUGACCAGCUGCAGAGAAGAGCUACCCUUUCUGCUGACAGCAGGAGAUGUCCCAACAACCAGCAGAAGAGAGAAGCUAUCCAUUCUAGGGCCUCUUCUCUGCUGAGAGCUUCAGAAACCUGCAGAGACAUCAAGACUACCAGCUGCAGAGUGGAACAAUCCACUCCAGGGCCACCUCUCUGCUGAGAGCUAAGAAGACAAUGAGAUGACCUGCCUGCUAGGAGGAGCUUCCCUCUCCAGGGUCUCCUUUCUGCUAGGAGCUGAACUCUCAUUGGAACAUCCUGGCUGUGGAAAGGAGCUACCCUCUGCAGGUCUCCUGUGUGCUGUUCUAUUGAUCAAUAAAGCUCCCCUUCAUCUCGUUCAUCCUC